UAACUCCACCAAUCUCCUGACCAUCCUUAGCCUCAGUGGAUAUCCUCACUUCCUCUGCACCAGUACGACACCUUCCCCCUCCUUCUACAACCUGUUUUCAACUCAUUUCAGUUUCAGAUAGUAACCCUCCAAUGUUUACCUUUAAAGAGGAGCAGGUUUCCUGAAGAAGACACCAUAUUGUCCUGCUUACACAAGUCCCAUUACCUCUCCUCCAGGAUACUGAUAAGAAUCAUUCCCUCCACCAAUCUCCUGCCAACUUCGUUCUCUAAAGAUAUCCUCCCCUCUUAACCAGACUGGGUUUCCCAAAGAAGACUUCAGAUUGUCCAACUCACAAGUGAUAUUGGACUCUAUAGUACUGUUGUCCAUUCUCUGCGUCUAUUCUGAGAAAUCUCCUUAAGAACCUCCACACCACUUCUGACUGCCCUCCUGCCUGGACAUCCUCCAAAGUUGUUUUCACCAACCAAAAACUUCAAGAGGGACAAAGUUUCCAUAGGCAGGGAUUGAUGUUCUCACAUCUGUAACUCAUUGGUCACUCACCUCCUGGUGCACUCUCCAUUGUCCAAACCUCCCACCUUGAAGAGAAGGACAGAAGGAGACAAUAACUAAUUCAACCAAUCACCAAUCUGCUGCCAACCUCAGCCUCUACUGAUAAGUUCACCACUUCU